rnacentral:rRNA from 1 species
UACAUGCAAGUAGGACGCACAGUUUAUACCGUAGCUUGCUACACCAUAGACUUGAGUUGCGAACGGGUGAGUAACGCGUAGGUAACCUGCCUAUUAGAGGGGGAUAACUAUUGGAAACGAUAGCUAAUACCGCAUAACAGUAUGUAACACAUGUUAGAUGCUUGAAAGAUGCAAUUGCAUCGCUAGUAGAUGGACCUGCGUUGUAUUAGCUAGUAGGUAGGGUAAAGGCCUACCUAGGCAACGAUACAUAGCCGACCUGAGAGGGUGAUCGGCCACACUGGGACUGAGACACGGCCCAGACUCCUACGGGAGGCAGCAGUAGGGAAUCUUCGGCAAUGGGGGGAACCCUGACCGAGCAACGCCGCGUGAGUGAAGAAGGUUUUCGGAUCGUAAAGCUCUGUUGUUAAGGAAGAACGAGUGUGAGAAUGGAAAGUU